CACUUUUACAGAUUUCUUCGGAAUGAAGUUUUAGUGACUGAGUGGCGGACGGGUGAGUAACGCGUGGGUAACCUGCCUCACACAGGGGGAUAACAGUUGGAAACGGCUGCUAAUACCGCAUAAGACCACAGCCUCGCAUGGGGCAGGGGAAAAAACGAUAGUGGUGUAAGAUGGGCCCGCGUCUGAUUAGGUAGUUGGAGAGGUAAAGGCUCCCCAAGCCGACGAUCAGUAGCCGACCUGAGAGGGUGACCGGCCACAUUGGGACUGAGACACGGCCCAAACUCC
rnacentral:rRNA from 1 species